AUACGGAGGGUGCAAGCGUUACUCGGAAUUACUGGGCGUAAAGCGUACGUAGGCGGUUGGUUAAGUUAGAUGUGAAAGCCCCGGGCUUAACCUGGGAACUGCAUUUAAAACUGGCGAACUAGAGUUGAGUAGAGGGGAGUGGAAUUUCAGGUGUAGCGGUGAAAUGCGUAGAGAUCUGAAGGAACACCAGUGGCGAAGGCGACUCCCUGGACUCGAACUGACGCUGAGGUACGAAAGCGUGGGUAGCAAACGGGAUUAGAAACCCCAGUAGUCC
rnacentral:rRNA from 1 species